UCACUGAGCCCCUGAUUUUUCCACUGUUGCCUAGUCUCCUCUCUGACUUAAGCAUCAGAGGGUCCCCACCGGAGAUAUCUCCGAUCAGUGAGGACUUUUCUUACAGGUGCGCAUUUCCGACGAUCAGACGACGAGGAGAUUGACCGCAACAGAUUUGGCACUCCAGGUAGGGGGAGCGGUCGCGGCGGUGGUAAGACAGCAAGCUCCAUAGAGCUUGAAAAAUCUUUCGAGAUGACAAAAAUCAGAGCUCAG
rnacentral:lncRNA from 1 species